UGGGGAAUAUUGCACAAUGGAGGGAACUCUGAUGCAGCGACGCCGCGUGAACGAAGAAGGCUUUCGAGUCGUAAAGUUCUUUUAUAUGGGAAGAUAAUGACGGUACCAUAAGAAAAAGCCCCGGCUAACUACGUGCCAGCAGCCGCGGUAAUACGUAGGUGGCAAGCGUUGUCCGGAUUUAUUGGGCGUAAAGCGAGCGCAGGCGGUCAAUUAAGUCUGAUGUGAAAGCCCCCGGCUCAACCGGGGAGGGUCAUUGGAAACUGGUUGACUUGAGUGCAGAAGAGGAGAGUGGAAUUCCAUGUGUAGCGGUGAAAUGCGUAGAUAUAUGGAGAAACACCAGUGGCGAAGGCGACUCUCUGGUCUGUAACUGACGCUGAGGCUCGAAAGCGUGGGUAGCAAACAGG
rnacentral:rRNA from 1 species